CCUACGGGAGGCAGCAGUGGGGAAUAUUGGGCAAUGGGCGCAAGCCUGACCCAGCAACGCCGCGUGAAGGAAGAAGGCUUUCGGGUUGUAAACUUCUUUUCUCAGGGACGAAGCAAGUGACGGUACCUGAGGAAUAAGCCACGGCUAACUACGUGCCAGCAGCCGCGGUAAUACGUAGGUGGCAAGCGUUAUCCGGAUUUACUGGGGGUAAAGGGCGUGUAGGCGGGGACGCAAGUCAGAUGUGAAAACCACGGGCUCAACCUGUGGCCUGCAUUUGAAACUGUGUUUCUUGAGUACUGGAGAGGCAGACGGAAUUCCUAGUGUAGCGGUGAAAUGCGUAGAUAUACGGAGGAACACCAGUGGCGAAGGCGGAUUGCUGGACAGUAACUGACGCUGAGGCGCGAAAGCGUGGGGAGCAAACAGGAUUAGAUACCCCUGUAGUC
rnacentral:rRNA from 1 species